GCCCAGAUGGGAUUAGCUUGUUGGUGAGGUAACGGCUCACCAAGGCGACGAUCCCUAGCUGGUCUGAGAGGAUGACCAGCCACACUGGAACUGAGACACGGUCCAGACUCCUACGGGAGGCAGCAGUGGGGAAUAUUGCACAAUGGGCGCAAGCCUGAUGCAGCCAUGCCGCGUGUAUGAAGAAGGCCUUCGGGUUGUAAAGUACUUUCAGCGGGGAGGAAGGUGUUGUGGUUAAUAACCGCAGCAAUUGACGUUACCCGCAGAAGAAGCACCGGCUAACUCCGUGCCAGCAGCCGCGGUAAUACGGAGGGUGCAAGCGUUAAUCGGAAUUACUGGGCGUAAAGCGCACGCAGGCGGUCUGUCAAGUCGGAUGUGAAAUCCCCGGGCUCAACCUGGGAACUGCAUUCGAAACUGGCAGGCUUGAGUCUUGUAGAGGGGGGUAGAAUUCCAGGUGUAGCGGUGAAAUGCGUAGAGAUCUGGAGGAAUACCGGUGGCGAAGGCGGCCCCCUGGACAAAGACUGACGCUCAGGUGCGAAAGCGUGGGGAGCAAACAGGAUUAGAUACCCUGGUAGUCCACGCCGUAAACGAUGUCUACUUGGAGGUUGUGCCCUUGAGGCGUGGCUUCCGGAGCUAACGCGUUAAGUAGACCGCCUGGGGAGUACGGCCGCAAGGUUAAAACUCAAAUGAAUUGACGGGGGCCCGCACAAGCGGUGGAGCAUGUGGUUUAAUUCGAUGCAACGCGAAGAACCUUACCUGGUCUUGACAUCCACAGAAGAAUCCAGAGAUGGAUUUGUGCCUUCGGGAACUGUGAGACAGGUGCUGCAUGGCUGUCGUCAGCUCGUGUUGUGAAAUGUUGGGUUAAGUCCCGCAACGAGCGCAACCCUUAUCCUUUGUUGCCAGCGGUUAGGCCGGGAACUCAAAGGAGACUGCCAGUGAUAAACUGGAGGAAGGUGGGGAUGACGUCAAGUCAUCAUGG
rnacentral:rRNA from 1 species